ACGGGGUGCAGCAGGCGCGAAACCUUUACAAUGCGCGAAAGCGUGAUAAGGGGACUCCAAGUGACCACUUUCGUGGUCUUUUCUUUACUUCAAAAAGGUAGGGGAAUAAGGGCUGGGUAAGACCCGUGCCAGCCGCCGCGGUAAUACGGGCAGCCCUAGUGGCGUUCGCGAAUAUUGGGCCUAAAGCGUACGUAGCCGGUUCUACAAGUUCCUUGUGAAAUCCUGCAGCUUAACUGUGGGAAGUGCAAGGAAAACUGUGGGACUUGGAGCCGGGAAGGGUCGGAGGUAUUCCUUGGGUAGGGGUGAAAUCCAGUGAUCCUUGGAGGACCGACGGUGGCGAAGGCGUCCGACUAGAACGGGCUCGACGGUGAGGUACGAAAGCUAGGGGAGCGACCCGGAUUAGAUACCCGGUUAGUCCUAGCCGUAAAUGAUGCAGGUUUGGUGUAACAAUCCUUACGAGGGAUUGUUGUGCCGUAGGGAAGCCGUUAAACCUGCCGCCUGGGAGUACGUCGCAAGAC
rnacentral:rRNA from 1 species